AAAAAAUUAAAAAUUUCUGAAAACAAAACUCCUUCAACAUAUGACGAACCGGAGGAAACAAUUGAUGUUCCAAAAAAAAACAAUCGAAAAAAGAAACCUAGCGAUCAGAAAAAAACAAAAAUUUCUGAAAACAAAACUCCUUCAACAUAUGACGAACCGGAGGAAACAAUUGAUGUUCCAAAAAAAAACAAUCGAAAAAAGAAACCUAGCGAUCAGAAAAAAGCUAAAGUUUCUGAAAAUAAAUCUCCUUCAAUGUAUGAUGAAACAGAUAAAACAAUUGAUUAUCCAAACGAAUACAAUCCAACUAGGAAAC